rnacentral:rRNA from 1 species
UAGCCGUAAACGAUACUCGCUAGGUGUCGGCCACGGUGCGACCGUUGUCGGUGCCGUAGGGAAGCCGUGAAGCGAGCCACCUGGGAAGUACGGCCGCAAGGCUGAAACUUGAAGGAAUUGGCGGGGGAGCACCACAACGGGUGGAGCUUGCGGUUUAAUUGGAUUCAACGCCGGAAAUCUUACCGGGACCGACAGCAAUAUGAAGGCCAGGCUGAAGACUUUGCCGGAUUAGCUG